CCCUACGGGAGGCAGCAGUGGGGAAUAUUGGGCAAUGGGCGCAAGCCUGACCCAGCGACGCCGCGUGAGGGAAGACGGUCUUCGGAUUGUAAACCUCUUUCAGCAGGGAAGACAAAAGGACGGUACCUGCAGAAGAAGCCACGGCUAACUACGUGCCAGCAGCCGCGGUAAUACGUAGGUGGCAAGCGUUAUCCGGAAUUACUGGGUGUAAAGGGUGUGUAGGCGGGUUUGGAAGUCAGAUGUGAAAAUUAUUGGCUCAAACCAUAACCUGCGUCUGAAACUUCAGAUCUUGAGAGUGGGAGAGG
rnacentral:rRNA from 1 species